UAAACAAACGCGUGAGUGUUUUUGUACUUAAGGAUUGGCAAGCGUGCUUACAUACUAGUUCUGACGUUGCGACUAACAUCGCGACA